UUUGGAAACUCCAAUCCCCGCAGGGAUCCCUGCGUUUUCCCCGGGUGGGAAGACCACGGGAAUACAAUCCACGGGUUGAUUUAAUCGGACAUUUGGAACACCACGCGACAGGGUUCUCACGCCCCGAUCUGCCUCCUUUCCACGGGGAAACACGCCCCACCUCGACAGGUCGGGGAGCAAUCCCCCGUCUUCUCCCGAGUCUCGAGCUCUCCGUGUUGCUCGCGAGAUGCGACGAACGGCCGCCGCCGCCGCCGCGGCGAACGGCCGACCUUCUUCCCCACCUCCAUCGUCCCCUCCUCCACAGCUGUUGCUUCCACAUCUCCACACCUUUGCCUUCAUGGCCGCCACUACUUCCACGUCGUCUCCGUCUCCGUCUCCGUCUCCGUCUCCGUCUCCGUGGCCACCGGCACCUCACCUCCAAACUGUGGCUCAGCAUCUAUCUGAAAUGCAGCUACUUUUAUCAGCAUGCACAAGUCCAAAAUAGUGCCGAACCAAAUUCUUGCUGGAUUUUAGAUGGUACUCAAUUCAAAUUUUGUAAGAAUUGAACUUCAUUGUAGAAAUUCUGAAAAGUUGUAGCCUUUCUCAAUAUUGUAACCUCUUUUGUUGUCAUAGACAACUUGUGAGUGUAAAAAGUUGUAAGAACCUAUAUGUGAACACGAUUUUUUUUUAAAGAAAAUUUAUGUAAGGGUGCCGCAAAGUAUUGCCUAAA